rnacentral:rRNA from 1 species
GAGUUUGAUCUUGGCUCAGCCUGAACGCUGGCGGCGUGGCUAAGACAUGCAAGUCGUACGGUGUAGCAAUACACAGUGGCGAACGGGUGAGUAAUGAAUCGCUAAUGUACCCCGGACUCUGGGAUAGCUGACCGAAAGGGCAGGUAAUACCAGAUGAUAUAACCUUGUCGCAUGGCAGGGUUCUCAAAGGUCCGCCGGUCUGGGAGCAGGCGAUUUUGUAUCAGCUUGUUGGUGAGGU